UGGGGAAUAUUGCACAAUGGGCGCAAGCCUGAUGCAGCCAUGCCGCGUGUAUGAAGAAGGCCUUCGGGUUGUAAAGUACUUUCAGCGGGGAGGAAGGGAGUAAAGUUAAUACCUUUGCUCAUUGACGUUACCCGCAGAAGAAGCACCGGCUAACUCCGUGCCAGCAGCCGCGGUAAUACGGAGGGUGCAAGCGUUAAUCGGAAUUACUGGGCGUAAAGCGCACGCAGGCGGUUUGUUAAGUCAGAUGUGAAAUCCCCGGGCUCAACCUGGGAGCUGCAUCUGAUACUGGCAAGCUUGAGUCUCGUAGAGGGGGGUAGAAUUCCAGGUGUAGCGGUGAAAUGCGUAGAGAUCUGGAGGAAUACCGGUGGCGAAGGCGGCCCCCUGGACGAAGACUGACGCUCAGGUGCGAAAGCGUGGGGAGCAAACAGGAUUAGAUAUCCUGGUAGUCCACGCCGUAAACGAUGUCGACUUGGAGGUUGUGCCCUUGAGGCGUGGCUUCCGGAGCUAACGCGUUAAGUCGACCGCCUGGGGAGUACGGCCGCAAGGUUA
rnacentral:rRNA from 1 species